GAUGAACGCUAGCGACAGGCUUAACACAUGCAAGUCGAGGGGUAACAGGGUAGCAAUACCGCUGACGACCGGCGCACGGGUGAGUAACGCGUAUGCAACCUGCCUAUAACUGGGGAAUAG
rnacentral:rRNA from 1 species